rnacentral:lncRNA from 1 species
AACAUCUCAGACAUUGCAGAACAUUUCAGCACAAUUAAAGGGUCCAUCCAUGAUCAUCACCAUACGCAUCUCAUGCAUUAAAUAAAAUUUACAGAUCUGAAUAUUUAACAGAUUAUGUCAUCUUAUGAGUUGCUGAUCAUGCAAGAUAUGAUUCUAAAUAUUUUUAAUCUCAUUAACAAAUCAAUAGAAUCAUUAAUCUAAUCGCAUAGAAAAUCAGCAUGUAGAAAAAUCAGCAAGCUGAAAAUUCUGCAUGCAGAAAAAUUCAGCAAGCAUAAUCUUUAAAUUUUCAGAUCUAUUAUGCCUUAAUCAUUUAAUCCUAAUCUUAAUCUACGCAACCAUGGCUCUGAUACCACU